CCAAAGGCUCUUUUAAGAGCCACCUACUUAAUCAUCGAAAGAGCUU
rfam:Calypte anna contig3935, whole genome shotgun sequence.